CCUACGGGAGGCAGCAGUGAGGAAUAUUGGUCAAUGGACGAGAGUCUGAACCAGCCAAGUAGCGUGAAGGAUGACUGCCCUAUGGGUUGUAAACUUCUUUUAUAUGGGAAUAAAAUGUUCCACGUGUGGGAUUUUGUAUGUACCAUAUGAAUAAGGAUCGGCUAACUCCGUGCCAGCAGCCGCGGUAAUACGGAGGAUCCGAGCGUUAUCCGGAUUUAUUGGGUUUAAAGGGAGCGUAGGUGGAUUGUUAAGUCAGUUGUGAAAGUUUGCGGCUCAACCGUAAAAUUGCAGUUGAUACUGGCAGUCUUGAGUACAGUAGAGGUGGGCGGAAUUCGUGGUGUAGCGGUGAAAUGCUUAGAUAUCACGAAGAACUCCGAUUGCGAAGGCAGUUCACUAGACUGCAACUGACACUGAGGCUCGAAAGUGUGGGUAUCAAACAGGAUUAGAUACCCUAGUAGUC
rnacentral:rRNA from 1 species